rnacentral:lncRNA from 1 species
AGUGCAGUACCGCUUAUAGUGCGGAUAUUCGCGACUCCGGCGACUUACGUUAUAAGCGGUCUACACUGUAGUUGGUCUUCCAAAAUGGAACACUAACUAGCCCAACGUCGAUCCCUUAUGACGUGCACAAUGCUUAUAGUGAGCUUAGCAAGCAUUGAGACUUGAAAGCCAAUGCUAGCGAUGGCAGGUGGUACAAGAGCUUGAAAUUGCAUCAUGCAAGAACUGAAAUGCUGCACCGUGUCAUCAGUUUCAGGUAUGCCAUAGCACUUAGGAAUUACUUGUAGAGCACACCAAGUCAAUUUUAGAGCUUCGAGAAAUAUGUGCUAAUAGAGCAUGAACAAAAUUCGGGUGCUGCUCAUCACCUGACUAAAUUUCUUGGACAUGAGUAGCGCUAUGUCCAAAAUACCACUGCCAUGAAUGGUGUUGGUGCCAUUCAUUUUACAGCCUGUAUCCUCAGUUGUGCUGGCUACUAAGUGAAGAGCUCUUGGCCAACUCAGCAACAUUUUCUUCAACUUUCAGUCACUGACAUGACAUGACAUCUAGAGUUGCAAAGUCACAAAGUCAUGAAGAAGGUUAAAAGUGGCCCGUUCCAAAACAAAGGCACGAAGGAAUUAACACAUUACCGAUACGGACAUCAAUUUGUUCUGCAGUUCCUAGAUGUUGUGUUUAAGCUUAGUGAGCCAGCACUUUUUAUUUUAUUUUCAGGGGGCAAACUACCUCUUUCUGCACUGCACUUUCAGCACUGUAGUUGCAAUCAAGCCAGAGAUGAGGUGCAUGGACCCGACUGGUGGACCUGCUUUCUACUAGGUUCAUUCAUGCACUUACCGAGUGAAAUGGAGAAAGCUACAUGUGGGCACAAGUUGUCAGACUAAAUUCCCGCACAGUGACCUUAAUUACCCAGUGAAACACAAUCAGCAACAUGCUACACAUACCAGAUUCAGAUAUGAUAUCAGAUAAGAUCAUGAAAUGUCCAGGGGCCCUACAACAAAGUGUAAAGUAGAUAUCAAUGCACUGAAACAAGACAGAGCAGAAGUCCAGUAAAGAACCUUCUGUGCUGACAUGAAGAAAAUAGAUUAUUCUUUUUCCCCCCUGAAAUUCUCACCAAAAUGCCUGAUAAUUCAAAUAUUUCUGUGGUCGACCUCGUGCCCAAGAAAUAGCAAGUAAUGAUGUGGUACGCUUCCAGCCAUGAAUUUUGAAUUAAAGCAUAGAUUUCUUCUUCUUUUGACAAUACUAAUAUUUCAUGUGAUCCCAUGAGAUUUGUAUCUUCGAGAUUCUACUGAGACAUGUAGGAGACACCUUCUAUUUAUAAGAGUGAGAAAAAUAAUGCAAUGUCUUGCAAGAGUUUUACGAUUAACAAAAAAAAAAAUUAAGUGAAAAGCAGUACAUUGCAAAAACUCCAAUGAAAAUGGGAAAUAUCACACAAUUUUUUAGGUUUAUAAUCUGCAAUAUGGUGAAUGCAAAAAAAAAAAACAAGUGGCCAGCAUGCCAUGAGAGCAACCCCAUGUUUUACCCUUGAUGCAUUCAUUCAGCACAAUAGGUAGCUUUAGCAUACUACUACUACUCUACUGUCACUGCUACCAUUACUACCAUCUGCCAGCUUUAUGUGCGCUAGCUAAGUCAAGCAUGACCAUCAAUGUGGCAGCAGUAACAGUACAGUGGUAGUAUACUGCUAAAGCUCUGUUUCAGCAACUUGCAAGUUGACACAUACCCACACUUCCCGCGAGAACAAUCUCUAACUCACAAGAGAACAACAUCACAUCAAUGCUGCCUGCCAUG